rnacentral:rRNA from 1 species
GACGAACGCUGGCGGCGUGCCUAAUACAUGCAAGUGGGACGCAAGGGAACACACUGUGCUUGCACACCGUGUUUUCUUGAGUCGCGAACGGGUGAGUAACGCGUAGGUAACCUGCCUAUUAGCGGGGGAUAACUAUUGGAAACGAUAGCUAAUACCGCAUAAUAUUAAUUAUUGCAUGAUAAUUGAUUGAAAGAUGCAAGCCAUCACUAGUAGAUGGACCUGCGUUGUAUUAGCUAGUUGGUAAGGUAAGAGCUUACCAAGGCGACGAUACAUAGCCGACCUGAGAGGGUGAUCGGCCACACUGGGACUGAGACACGGCCCAGACUCCUACGGGAGGCAGCAGUAGGGAAUCUUCGGCAAUGGACGAAAGUCUGACCGAGCAACGCCGCGUGAGUGAAGAAGGUUUUCGGAUCGUAAAGCUCUGUUGUAAGUCAAGAACGUGUGUGAGAGUGGAAAG